rnacentral:rRNA from 1 species
UUAGAGUUUGAUCCUGGCUCACGACGAACGCUGGCGGCGUGCUUAACACAUGCAAGUCGAACGGGGCACUUAUGACGGAGAUUUCGGUCAACUGAAUAAGUUGCUUAGUGGCGGACGGGUGAGUAACGCGUGAGUAACCUGCCUUUCAGAGGGGGACAACAGUUGGAAACGACUGCUAAUACCGCAUAACAUGUAGAGACCGCAUGAUCUUUACAUCAAAGAUUUAUCGCUGAAAGAUGGACUCGCGUCUGAUUAGAUAGUUGGCGGGGUAACGGCCCACCAAGUCGACGAUCAGUAGCCGGACUGAGAGGUUGAACGGCCACAUUGGGACUGAGAUACGGCCCAGACUCCUACGGGAGGCAGCAGUGGGGAAUAUUGGGCAAUGGGCGCAAGCCUGACCCAGCAACGCCGCGUGAAGGAAGAAGGCUUUCGGGUUGUAAACUUCUUUUGUCAGGGAAGAUGAAGAGACUGUACCUGACGAAUAAGCCACGGCUAACUACGUGCCAGCAGCCGCGGUAAUACGUAGGUGGCAAGCGUUGUCCGGAUUUACUGGGUGUAAAGGGCGUGUAGGCGGGAAGAUAAGUCAGGCGUGAAAACCAGAGGCUCAACCUCUGGCCUGCGUNUGAAACUGUUUUUCUUGAGUACUGGAGAGGUUGGCGGAAUUCCUAGUGUAGCGGUGAAAUGCGUAGAUAUUAGGAGGAACACCAGUGGCGAAGGCGGCCAACUGGACAGCAACUGACGCUGAGGCGCGAAAGCGUGGGGAGCANACAGGAUUAGAUACCCUGGUAGUCCACGCUGUAAACGAUCAAUACUAGGUGUGCGGGGACUAACCCCCUGCGUGCCGCAGUUAACACAAUAAGUAUUGCACCUGGGGAGUACGAUCGCAAGGUUGAAACUCAAAGGAAUUGACGGGGGCCCGCACAAGCGGUGGAUUAUGUGGUUUAAUUCGAAGCAACGCGAAGAACCUUACCAGGACUUGACAUGGGGAUGACCGGUCUAGAGAUAGACCUUUCCUUCGGGACAUCCCACACAGGUGGUGCAUGGUUGUCGUCAGCUCGUGUCGUGAGAUGUUGGGUUAAGUCCCGCAACGAGCGCAACCCUUAUUGUUAGUUGCUACGCAAGAGCACUCUAGCGAGACUGCCGUUGACAAAACGGAGGAAGGCGGGGACGACGUCAAAUCAUCAUGCCCCUUAUGUCCUGGGCUACACACGUAAUACAAUGGUGGUUAACAGAGGGAUGCAAAACCGUGAGGUAGAGCGAACCCCUAAAAGCCAUCUCAGUUCAGACUGCAGGCUGCAACUCGCCUGCACGAAGUCGGAAUCGCUAGUAAUCGCGGAUCAGCAUGCCGCGGUGAAUACGUUCCCGGGCCAUUGUACACACGGCCCGUC